rnacentral:rRNA from 1 species
GACGAACCGUGCGAACGUUGUUCGGAAUCACUGGGCUUAAAGGGCGCGUAGGCGGGCGACCAAGUCCUGGGUGAAAUCCUCCGGCUUAACCGGAGAAGUGCCUGAGAUACUGGUCGUCUGGAGGGAGGUAGGGGCAGCUGGAACUUCCGGUGGAGCGGUGAAAUGCGUUGAUAUCGGAAGGAACGCCGGUGGCGAAAGCGAGCUGCUGGACCUCUUCUGACGCUGAGGCGCGAAAGCCAGGUGAGCAAACGGG